rnacentral:rRNA from 1 species
GACGAACGCUGGCGGCGUGCUUAACACAUGCAAGUCGAACGGAAAGGCCCUGCUUUUGUGGGGUGCUCGAGUGGCGAACGGGUGAGUAACACGUGAGUAACCUGCCCUUGACUUUGGGAUAACUUCAGGAAACUGGGGCUAAUACCGGAUAGGAGCUCCUGCUGCAUGGUGGGGGUUGGAAAGUUUCGGCGGUUGGGGAGGGACUCGCGGGUGAUCAGCGAGUUGGUGGGGUAGUGGCUUACCAAGGCGUUGACGGGUAGCUGGCCUGAGAGGAUGACCGGCCAGACUGGGACGGAGAGACGGCGCAGACUCCUACGGGAGGCAGCGGUGGGGAAUAUGGGAAAAGGGGCGAAAGCCUGAUACAGCAAGGCCGGGUGAGUGAUGAAGGCCUUAGGGUUGUAAAGCUCUUUUAACCGGGAUGAUAAUGACAGUACCGGGAGAAUAAGCGCCGGCUAACUCCGUG